UUGGACAAUGGGGGCAACCCUGAUCCAGCCAUGCCGCGUGAGUGAAGAAGGCCCUCGGGUUGUAAAGCUCUUUUGUCCGGAAAGAAAAGCUUCGGGUUAAUACCCCGGGGUUCUGACGGUACCGGAAGAAUAAGCACCGGCUAACUUCGUGCCAGCAGCCGCGGUAAUACGAAGGGUGCAAGCGUUACUCGGAAUUACUGGGCGUAAAGCGUGCGUAGGUGGUUGUUUAAGUCUGAUGUGAAAGCCCUGGGCUCAAGCUGGGAAUGGCAGUGGAAACUGGGCAGCUUGAGUGGGGUAGAGGGUAGUGGAAUUCCCGGUGGAGCAGUGAAAUGCGUAGAGAUCGGGAGGAGCAUCUGUGGAGAAGGCGACU
rnacentral:rRNA from 1 species